rnacentral:rRNA from 1 species
AUGGUUAAGUUAGAAAGGGCGCACGGUGAAUGCCUUGGCACUAGGAGCCGAUGAAGGACGGGACUAACACCGAUAUGCUUCGGGGAGCUGUAAGUGAGCUUUGAUCCGGAGAUUUCCGAAUGGGGAAACCCACUGUUCGUAAUGGAACAGUAUCUUUAUCUGAAUACAUAGGAUAUUGAAGGCAGACCCGGGGAACUGAAACAUCUAAGUACCCGGAGGAAGAGAAAGCAAAUGCGAUUUCCUGAGUAGCGGCGAGCGAAACGGAAUUAGCCCAAACCAAGAGGCUUGCCUCUUGGGGUUGUAGGACACUCUAUACGGAGUUACAAAGGAACGAAGUAAAUGAAGCGACCUGGAAAGGUCCGUCGAAGAAGGUAACAACCCUGUAGUUGAAACUUCGUUCCCUCUUGAGUGGAUCCUGAGUACGGCGGAACACGUGAAAUUCCGUCGGAAGCUGGGAGGACCAUCUCCCAAGGCUAAAUACUACCUAGUGACCGAUAGUGAACCAGUACCGUGAGGGAAAGGUGAAAAGCACCCCGGAAGGGGAGUGAAAGAGAUCCUGAAACCGUGUGCCUACAAGUAGUCAGAGCCCGUUAACGGGUGAUGGCGUGCCUUUUGUAGAAUGAACCGGCGAGUUACGAUCCCAUGCAAGGUUAAGCUGAUAAGGCGGAGCCGUAGCGAAAGCGAGUCUGAAUAGGGCGUUUAGUAUGUGGUUGUAGACCCGAAACCAGGUGAUCUACCCAUGUCCAGGGUGAAGUUCAGGUAACACUGAAUGGCGGCCCGAACCCACGCACGUUGAAAAGUGCGGGGAUGAGGUGUGGGUAGCGGAGAAAUUCCAAUCGAACCUGGAGAUAGCUGGUUCUCUCCGAAAUAGCUUUAGGGCUAGCCUCAUGUUGUGAGAGUCUUGGAGGUAGAGCACUGAUUGGACUAGGGGCCCCCAACGGGUUACCGAAUUCAGUCAAACUCCGAAUGCCAAAGACUUAUCCAUGGGAGUCAGACUGCGAGUGAUAAGAUCCGUAGUCAAAAGGGAAACAGCCCAGACCACCAGCUAAGGUCCCCAAGUAUACGUUAAGUGGAAAAGGAUGUGGAGUUGCUUAGACAACCAGGAUGUUGGCUUAGAAGCAGCCACCAUUUAAAGAGUGCGUAAUAGCUCACUGGUCGAGUGACUCUGCGCCGAAAAUGUACCGGGGCUAAACGUAUCACCGAAGCUGUGGAUUGACAUCUUUGAUGUCAGUGGUAGGAGAGCGUUCUAAGUGCUGUGAAGUCAGACCGUAAGGACUGGUGGAGCGCUUAGAAGUGAGAAUGCCGGUAUGAGUAGCGAAAGACAAGUGAGAAUCUUGUCCACCGAAUGCCUAAGGUUUCCUGAGGAAGGCUCGUCCGCUCAGGGUUAGUCGGGACCUAAGCCGAGGCUGAAAAGCGUAGGCGAUGGCCAACAGGUUGAUAUUCCUGUACCACCUCCCCGCCGUUUGAGUAAUGGGGGGACGCAGUAGGAUAGGGUAAGCGCGCUGCUGGAUAUGCGCGUUCAAGCAGUUAGGCUGAUGAGUAGGCAAAUCCGCUCAUCAUAAAGGCUGAGCUGUGAUGACGAGGGAAUUAUAGUACCGAAGUUCCUGAUUCCACACUGCCAAGAAAAGCCUCUAGCGAGGCGGGAGGUGCCCGUACCGCAAACCGACACAGGUAGGCGAGGAGAGAAUCCUAAGGUGAUCGAGAGAACUCUCGUUAAGGAACUCGGCAAAAUGACCCCGUAACUUCGGGAGAAGGGGUGCUCUGGUAGGGUGUAUAGCCCGAGAGAGCCGCAGUGAAUAGGCCCAGGCGACUGUUUAGCAAAAACACAGGUCUCUGCGAAGCCGCAAGGCGAAGUAUAGGGGCUGACGCCUGCCCGGUGCUGGAAGGUUAAGAGGAGGGGUUAUCCUUUGGGAGAAGCUCUGAAUCGAAGCCCCAGUAAACGGCGGCCGUAACUAUAACGGUCCUAAGGUAGCGAAAUUCCUUGUCGGGUAAGUUCCGACCCGCACGAAAGGCGUAACGAUCUGGGCACUGUCUCAACGAGAGACUCGGUGAAAUUAUAGUACCUGUGAAGAUGCAGGUUACCCGCGACAGGACGGAAAGACCCCGUGGAGCUUUACUGUAGCCUGAUAUUGAAUUUUGGUACAGCUUGUACAGGAUAGGUAGGAGCCUGAGAAGCCGGAGCGCUAGCUUCGGUGGAGGCGUCGGGGGGAGACUACCCUGGCGGUAUUGAAAUUCUAACCCGCGGCACUGAUCGGGCCGGGAGACAGUGGCAGGUGGGUAGGUUGACUGGGGCGGUCGCCUCCUAAAAUGUAACGGAGGCGCCCAACGUUUCCCUCAGAAUGGUUGGAAAUCAUUCGUAGAGUGUAAAGGCACAAGGGAGCUUGACUGCGAGACCUACAAGUCGAGCAGGGACGAAAGUCGGGCUUAGUGAUCCGGUGGUUCCGCAUGGAAGGGCCAUCGCUCAACGGAUAAAAGCUACCCCGGGGAUAACAGGCUUAUCUCCCCCAAGAGUCCACAUCGACGGGGAGGUUUGGCACCUCGAUGUCGGCUCAUCGCAUCCUGGGGCUGUAGUCGGUCCCAAGGGUUGGGCUGUUCGCCCAUUAAAGCGGUACGCGAGCUGGGUUCAGAACGUCGUGAGACAGUUCGGUCCCUAUCCGUCGUGGGCGUAGGAAAUUUGAGAGGAGCUGUCCUUAGUACGAGAGGACCGGGAUGGACACACCGCUGGUGUACCAGUUGUCUUGCCAAAGGCAUCGCUGGGUAGCUAUGUGUGGACGGGAUAAGUGCUGAAAGCAUCUAAGCAUGAAGCCCCCCUCAAGAUGAGAUUUCCCAUAGCGCAAGCUAGUAAGAUCCCUGAAAGAUGAUCAGGUUGAUAGGUCAGAGGUGGAAGCGUGGCGACAUGUGUAGCUGACUGAUACUAAUCGAUCGAGGACUUAACCAAA